rnacentral:lncRNA from 1 species
UUUUUUCCUUUUUCUUUCUUUUUUUUUUAAUCUAAAAACUAAAUCCCCACUUUCUUACGUGGGCUUCAUUUUCGGACCUUCUUUUACAUGUUUGGACAAUUUUCUGGGUAUUAUUUAUUGACUAUCAAAGGGCGUAGGAUUGGGGUAUACUGGAAUUGGAACAGUGAAGAAUUUUCCAAAUUUUGAUUCCAAAGAUUAGCGUACGAAAUAGAGUAGGAAUGGAGUAAUGCCAUUUUAUGGGUUUAGAGAGAGAAAGGGAAACAUUGCACUGGCGAAGCGCUUAGGUGAGUCUGUCUCUGAACCGAAUGCGGAAGGCUUUAGGGCGAAGCAAGCCUUUUCGUGGGUCUGAGUCACCAUUCUCGGACUCUGCGCAAGCAUUUUUUUGAUCUCUCUCUGGAACAAGUAACUCUAUAUAUAUUCUUUUUUUUUUUUUUUAGGCCCCUUCUUUCUUACUUCACGCUACUCUCGUUUCAGACUUUCAGUUGAUUGAGCUGUGAUUUGGGUGGGGAGCAUCGGAUUAUUAUGUGAGCUACUGACUACUGUGUUCCUUUUAGGGAGAUCUUUCAGUGAUUUGAUUUACAGUGGUCUGAGGUUUUCUUUUUCUGGGUAUGGGUGUAGGUGAAGACUGAAGACGAAGCCCUAGCAAUCAUGUUUACAGAAGGUCUUGACAAGAAUGCAGUUCGAUGGGUCAGGGAGGUUAGUUUCACUAACGCAACCCACAUUUAAAAAAAAAAAAAUCAUCUGAGGAAUUUUUAUUUUACGUUUUUAAUGAAUGCUGGUUCGCUGCCUAUUUGGAUCUGGGUGAUUGUUUCUUGCAUUCUUGAAAAUUUUAAAUUGAAAUUUAAUUUGAGGGUUCUUUGAAUAAGCAGAAGGAGCUUUCACACUCGAUUUCGAACCCGAUUCAUCGGAUAGAUCCGGUUCGAGGUGCGGGUCGGGGGUUCGGGCUGCCACCGCCAUCUAAAUUCCGGAGUGGGCACUUGCCAUCGAGCACAAUUCCGGUGUCCAGAACUAUUCCUGGUGAUAAUGAUGAUAUUGAGUCAGGCUCAGACAAUGACAAUGAUCUAACCACAGAUUCGGAAGAGGAGGUUUAUGGUGGAAGGUACUCUCUGGAUUCAUCGCCACCAGAUAACAGGAUUCCGAGCAAUGCUGCUCAUGGAUAUGGGAAGCCCUCACAAGGUCAGCCGCGUUAUGCAAGUGAUUCCAUGUAUUCAGAUGUUAGUUCUUCAAUGGAUGUUAGUUCUUCAAUGGAGACUGUGGGGCGAGGGUAUGGGAAUGUGGCUGAGAGAUUGCUAAGGGGAAAUGGAAGGUACCCAGUUGCGCAGAAUGGUAAUGGUUUCACGGAGGAUGAGUCAUCAGAUUCUGCCGCUAGUUCAGAAUUUUCAACAACUCAAGUGGGGAGCAUUAAUGGUGGUUUGCCUCGGAGAGGAUCGUAUGCUUCUGAGGGAUACACAUCCAGUGUUCCUUCCUGGGUGAAUGCAGGAAGGGCCACCAAAAAGGUUGGUCAUGCUUGAAUGCAUUUUGGUUACUUUUUUAAUAUAGGAUCAUUUACAGAUAGGAUAAUGUUUGGACGUGGGUAAAUUUUGUGUGUUUGGAAAAUUGGAAUUGUACUUUUGUUCCUAAUUGCUAGAGUAGUUAAUACUAUUUAAACCCCAACUUAGAGAUGAUACUACUUCCUACCCAGUUCUCUAGUAUGAUACUUUGCCUAAUAAUAAUCUUCUAGAGACCACUUCUAACUUAUAUCAGCUGGCUGCUUCAGGAGUCGCACAAGGUUACUAGUGAAAAAGUGGCUUUAAUCUGUGAAUGUGUUUUUUAUGUGGAUAUUCUGACGUUUAUUAGUGAAAAAGUAGCUUUGAAAGAUGAAUAUGUUUGUGUGUGCAUAAUAUGGGUUUCUUUCCAAUAAAUGCAUGUGGAGACUGUAAUUCAGUUGAUGGAAUCAUGAGCAUAUAAUAGUUUAGGAAAUGCCCACAUUACAUGAGCAGUGAGCUAUGAAAAUAUUACUAGCAAUUCCAACUGCUGGUUGUCAUGUAUUAGUUUUGUUUUUUUUAGUCAAGCUGUGUUUUCCAAACAUUAUGCCUCUAGAACUUAUGGCUUAAUUAGCACUUUUUCGUUCUGUUGUGUCCUUGGAAAGUCAGGGAAAGUAUUUUAUUUUUCUGCUUUCUACAUUGAAGACAAUGUGCAUAAUUGGUCAAGGGGAGAGAUCGGGAGUGAUUUAUGCAUGACAUGUGAUGUUUGGUGAGGAGCUUAAAAACCACCAAAACCGAUAUUAGAUUUUGCAAUUGAUCUAGGUUGUCAAAGAAUCUAUAGAUGGAAUUCACCCUCUCAAUUAUUAAUUUUAACGAUUGUUUCAAUUUUCAUUGCAAAUCAUCUCCUAAUAUUACAUAUAGGGUAAAAAAUAAAAGGGAAAUACAAAAGGAAAAAAUGAAGGAAAAAAUAAAAGUUUAAACUUAAUAAAAUACUUAUAAAAAAUAAAAGUUUAAACUUUAUAAAAUAUGCUAACAUGCUUCUCCAAAUUUAUCUCUUAUUUCCUCUUUUUUAUAAAAAGGGAAUAAUUUGAAAAUCUAUAAAAUUUUAAAUAAUUUUUGUUGUACAUGAAUUUUCUUCAUACUUUUCAUUGGAUUCCUUCCUUUUUUUUUUCCUUUUCCCUUGUACUUUUUGUAAUCCAAACAGAGCCUUAAGAUUAUCCUUGAGUCCUGGUUAAUCAUUUCUGUAAAUGCAGCUAUAAGUGUAUGCUUUCCCAGUCAUUAAUGAAGUUUGCAUGAAUCCAGAAAUCAAAUAAACUGAUCAGAAUUGUGUAGUCUGUGGGCCACCUACAUAGCCUUUAGGAUAUCCCCAACUGGAAGAUAAUUCUAAACAUUAUUGUGGUCCACUUAAUGUUUUGCUUGCUGGAAAAAGAAG